UAUAUAUAUAUAUAUAUAUAUAAAAUCAUCUCUGCAGCAGAGACAACUUCUUCAAUUAAACAAAUUUGGGUAUAAAAGCACAGAGCCAGAAAAUUCAAGUAUCAUCUAAAUGACGUAAAUUAUUAGCAUGUUGUUUAUUUUCUAAAAGGGCUUGUUUUUUGAUUAGAAGUACAAAAUGCAUCCCUUAUGUCAAUGGGCGAUCUGUUGCAGAUCUAGGAUGACAAAUGCAAAACCUUGAUUAUUUAUUUCAAGUGAGACCAAGGGACAGUUCAAAGAAGCUGAUCAGAGAACCUCAGGUGGCUAGCAGCCAUUUGGAGAUUAAGCAGAUUGGUAGACAUGCUAAAGAGGUUGACUGAGACACACAAGGGCAAGAUGACACAAACACAUGAAUCAUCUUUUCCAAAAUCAGCAAACACUUAGGAAAGGUUUGAUUCUAUAGAUAUUUCUAAGAUAGAAGAAAUUUAUGAUUGGAACAGAAAUUAAUUGGCUUAGUCAAAUACAUGAAGAGAGCCUACAUUUAACAAGAAAAUACUUGUUAAAUUCGGGAGACCAAAUAAAAUGACAUCUGACUCUGUGACACAGAAUAUCAAGAAUCAAAGGUAUCCUAAAAUGGACCCUUAUGGAACUGAUAAUAUAAUAAUUGAAUAAUAGUGCCAAAAUAAUAUGACCUAAAGAUCUGUAUGACCUAAAGUUGUAUAACCAGUUCUUUCCUCAUAUCAUCUCAGGGAGUUUUCCUUGCCACUAUCACCUCUUGCAUGCUCAUUGGGGAUCUAAAUCUACAUACAGAUUUCUGUAAAGCUGCAUUGUGAUGAUGUCUAUUAUUAUAAGUGCUAUACAAAAAAUUUUAUUUUAAAAGGUUUAUCUGAAACAUUUGGCCACUAAAAUACAACAACGCAGCACACCACUCAAGAUGCCCAGCAUGAUUGAUAGUCAAAAGCUGUGCAAAUAUCCAAUACAAUUAAUAUGAAACAAUAAUCAGAAUCCAUGGCGAAUAACACAUUGUUGGUUGUAAAAUUGAGCAUUCAGUGCUAUGAUCUGCUCUAAAAUCUACACAUUAUUAAUGUACAUAUUUAAGGGUGUUACCUCACUUCCUCUUCCUCAGGUCAUUAUUAUGGUACACUGGCUAAUCUUAUUUUUCACCCCAGUCAUGUUCUUUUAUUGUUCUGACAAGAAACAUCCUCAUAUCAUCAGUAUCAAUUGUGCACAUGGCAUUUUUGGUGACAUUGUUUAUUGCGGCAUAACAGCUCCACUAAAGUGCAUUACAUUUCAUUCUACACAUGAGGAGAGUUUACUUUAGCUGAGAUGUGACAGAAUACACUAUAGAUUAUGGUGGCUGACUCCAUGGCAUGACAACAGCGGUUGUGAAUGAUGUACAGGUACCAUUUGCAGUAGCCUUGGGCACUGAGCAGUGGAGCUCAUGGAGCAAAGAGCAAAAAAGGGCAUUCCAUAAGAGACUAUUAGAUGCAAAAUUACAAGGGAUAGAGGGUAAUAAUACAACAAAUCACACCUAAGGAGAUAAUUACAUCGUUCCUCUCCUGGCUGAUAAACCACAGGUUGUGUGACUGAGAAAUGCACAGUUUCAUGAAAAGAAAGGUUGGAAUUGCUCCAUUUUGGGCAAGACACUUACGAAACAUGAUCUAGUUUACAGGUGCAAUCAAAAUUAUUCAACCCUCACUGCAAAUCAGGUUUAUUCUCAAAAUGUACAGACUUUCAGCUGUUUGCACUGAACAAAUCAAACAAAAGUAAUUGAAAUAGUUCAACACAAUGAAUGCUUCAAGUGGUUUCCCCAAAUUCAACUGAAAAUGCAACUAGUGAUUUUUCCAGUCUCAAAAUGAUCAACCCUUUCAUGGCAAGCACCUUUAGUACUUAGUAGAGCACCCUUUUGCUGUUAUGACCUGCUGCAAAGGAGAUGCAGAGCCAGACACCAGCUUCUGGUAGCAUUCCUGAGGAAUCUUAGCCCAUUCCUCAUGAGCAAUGGCCUCCAGUUCAGUAAUAUUCUUGGGUUUGUGUGCUGCAACUGCCUUCUUCAAAUCCCACCAGAGAUUUUCUAUGGGGUUCAAGUCAGUUGACUGUAAUGGCGUUGUAGAAUCUUCCAGGACUUUUUCUGCAACCAAGCCUUGGUGGAAUUUGAAGUAUGCUUGGAAUCACUGUCCUGUUGGAAGGUCCAAUGACACCCAAGCUUCAGCUUCACCACAGACGGCAUGACGUUUUCUCCUAGGAUUUUGUGAUACUUCAAUGAAUCCAUCUUGCCUUCCACAUGCUGCAGAGCAUCACCGAGCCACCACCAUACUUGACGGGGCAGAGUGUUCUUUUUUUCACUCUUCUUUCUCCAGACCUUUCUCUGAUCCAUUGUGCCGAAAAGUUCCAGUUUUGUUUCUUUGCUCCACAGAACAGAAUCCCCAAACUUCUGUGGCUUAUUUAUAUAAUUUUUAAUCCCCUUUUUCUCACUUGAAACUUCUGUGCCUGUUGCCACCAAGUCUUGCUGCAGGCCUUUUGCAGUCACUCAAAGGUUUUUCACAAUCUGCCUUCUCAGAAAUCUGGUUGCAACUGUUGAUAGCUUUCUUUUCCUCCCCAUCCAGGUAUUUCAUAUACUUUUUACCCCUAGCCAGUUCAGGUAUUUCAUGAGGCCCUUGAUUAAGUUGUAUCAGGUGUGCUUGAGACAACACCUGUUUUGCAUAUUUCUACUGUUGUGAGGGAUUCCAUUCAGGAGGUUGAAUACUGAAUAGGUUUGAAACUGCAGAAAUCAUUAUAAGGUGCAUUUUCAGUUGAAGUUACGGAAACCACUUGAAGCAUUCAUUGUGUUGAACUAUUUCAAUUGCUUUUGUUUGAUGUGUUCAUUGCAAUCAGCUGAAAGUCUGUAUAUUUUGAGAAUAAACCUGAUUUGCAAUGGGGGUUGAAUAAUUUAGAUUGCAACUGUAAGUGGGAUGGGUAGUUCUGCUGAUAGACAGUAUGGAUGUUUGGUCGUGAUCUUCCAGAGCAAUAAAUGAAUUCUAUGUCUGAUUAACAUUUGUUUAUGUUGACUUUAACAGAAACCCCUCUGCACUGGAUUCCAACCUGCAGAAUCGUUGGAAAUCUUGUGACCCUAAGCGAUAAGAAAGAAAGGGCACAGCACUCCACAGCAAAUUAAGCAACACACUGGCUCCAGAUGCUAGGAUAGUGUAGAUUAAUCAAUGCAUACCAUUAGAGGAGUACCCCUUUCCACAGGGUAUUUUUUCCCCCUGUCCAUCUUAGAGUUUUUCUUACCUGCUAAGAUUGGGAUUGGUUUAGUUCUUAAACAUUAUGAAGGUACUAUGUGCACUUGCUUGUUUUUUAUUUUCUUUACAAAACAGUCAAUACUCAAUCUUAGAAAAUGUUGAGAUACAUGUUUGGUACAGUGAAAGUGCUGUCCCUUUGCAGCAGCAAUUACAUAGUAUGUCAUCUUCCCUGAUAAAAAACUUAAUGAUGAAUUGAGCUAAAGCCAUAGAGCUCUGUGACAGUAAAAUAUAGCAAUAAUGAAGAUCCAUAUUUUCAUAGGAAGCAGUAAGCUUUCUUCUCACCCUGCCCUUUGUUAGAGCUUAAAGCACACUCACUUUACUAAUAAGAGCAAAUAUUGAAGCAAAGACCAGAAUAAAAGUUUUCCAUGCACAGAAUAAUUGCUGACGACCACAGAACGCUAUCCAGUUUAAUAAAUGGUAAGUAAAGGCAGCUAAUGGUACCAAGAAUACAACAAAAACCUUUCAGAGUGGCCCACGGCCCCACAGUUGGUGGCUAUGAGUGAAAAAGAAGGCCAGCAGCUGCUGCGUGCCAAAAGGCCGCACUAUCAGCUCCCAAUGGCUCCCAGAGACAGAUGGAGAGGACGCGUGACCCAAAGUUUAGAGCUGCGCAAAAGACACUCUGCUUUUAUCUUUGCAGUAAUGAAGAAAACUGGAGCUGGGUCUGGAUCUGCAAUGCCUCCAAGCUUACAGAGUCCCAGGUCAUCAGAAUGCACUCAUUCUGACUCAACAGCUAUAUCACCUUUUAACUGAGGGGGGAAAAAACACUUCUGAUAAAAACAUAGUAAUAAGACCCAAAACAAACUGAUGAGGCAUCGGUGGUUAACCAAGCCUCAAUACACAGUUUUCUUUAAGGUUAAUUGACUUCAAAAUGUUGAUGAAAAGUUAAGCAGGCAGAAACUACAAACUGAUCCAAAUUGGGCAUAUGCUGCCAAAAUCACUGCCUUAAUCAAUGUGUUGGUUUCAAUAACGCACUGAGAAAUGGCUGAAUUAAAGAAAGACACUUUUAUGCAAGGACUCCAAGCUCAGAAAAUUGCCAAUUAAAAAUGUGCUAUUCACAUUACUGGGCAAAAAUAUCAAUUAGGAGAGCUUCAAAGACAGUGUCAUAAAGUAACAUUGUUCUAAGCAGUAAGAAAUGUGCCAAGAAAGAGGAGUUAAGUGACCUUAGGUGAAUGUGCUAUUGAUCUAAUGGAUGGACUGAGACAGAGGGCUGGUGUGGGAGUGGUUGGAGGAUUGAUUUAGCUUGAUGAGUGCUUAAUUAAGGAGAUGGGCCUGUGGUUCCUCAUUGCUUGCUUGUGCAAUUAGAACUCAGGCCCAUUGCAUCCACACUUCCCAUGCUCUGACGGAGAACGUAAGAGCGAGGAACUUGAGCAUUGAUUAAAUUGACUGAAUAAAGGCCUUACAGACUACUAAUUGUAGAGAAAAUCUGGGAAUAGCUGUUGAUAAGGAAUGGAAAAUGGUGGGUGGAAGUUUUGCUUUUUUUAACAGCAAGCAGUCAGGACCAUGUGGUAAAAUAAUAAAAGUUGUACUAAUGAUGUGGAUAUAGAAAGGUUGUAUCUAAAAUCUGAAAUAACCUCGCUCUCUCAGCAUGCCACUGGAGCACCCAUCAUGCCAAAGGCACAUGUCAUGCAUACACAUUGCUGUUUACAGAGUUCUCAAGGUGACUGACUCUCCUUGAGAACUGGGUGUUCUACAAUGUUAAGCACGAUUAGAGCCACAGUGUGUCAUAAUCACAUACCGUGAGCGUGGGAGAAAAUAUCUACUACCACUUUACUUAAGUUCAUAGAGCUACAUACACCCUUUCAGACAACUGACAAAUCUCUGUAGACAUUAUAAAUGUUGUGUCAUGACAACUGACUUUACAGCUCCAGGCUGAUUAAAUAUGUCAUGAUAACUGACUUUACGGCUCCAGGCUGAUUAAAUAUGUCAUGAUAACUGACUUUACGGCUCCAGGCUGAUUAAAUAUGUCAUGACAACUAACUUUACAGCUCCAGGCUAAGAGUGUCAUUACAACUGACUUUACAGCUCCAGGCUAAGAGUGUCAUUACAACCGACUCUACAGCUCCAGGCUGAUUAAGAGCGUUAUGACAUCUGACUUUAUAGCUCCAAGCUGAUUAAGAGCGUUAUGACAUCUGACUUUACAGCUCCAGGCUGAUUAAAUAUGUCAUGACAACUGACUUUAUAGCUCCAGGCUGAUUAAAUGUCAUGACAACUGACUUUAUAACUAAGAGUGCCAUAAAUACUGACUUUAUAGCUCCUGGCUGAUUAAGAAUGUCAUGGAGAAUGACAUUAUAGCGCCAAACUGAAUAAGAGUUUCAUGACAACUGACUUUAUAACUCCAAGCUGGCAUUGCCAGAUUUUUUCAUCAGCUGUCUUUCAUCGCAUUGGCACUAAAUCUGCCACUGGUGCUCACAUCACAUAUCUGCAUUAAGACCACUGAUUACCACACCUCCAAAGAAUUUUUAAUAAUGUAUGAUUUUUGUCUGGAACAGCAAAAUCAGAUCAAAAAUCCUAGUGUAACAAAGACUUUAGCCUGAGUUUGGUUUUGAUGUUUGACGUUACGUCGUCACUAUUAUAUGAUCGAUAUAGAAGAAGUCUGAGUAACAUCAUCAACUGUCAUGAUGUUUAAACAUACCACAAAUCUGACAAUUCUCUGGCUGUUCACAACGUCAUAUCAAAAUAACCUUAAAUGUUUAUGCAGGGUUGUGUACAUGGUUAUGUAGCUCUAUGAACACUCUUCUUAAAAGUGUUACAAACUAUCUUGCGUAUACCAAGGAGCUGUGGAAGUUAAAUACAAUAUUUGCAAGAUAUUCUGGUUGACUAAACACAUAACCCAUGUUCUUUUGUGAGUUCUGUAUGUGAGUGCUGCUUGGUUGCUUUUGAGGGUUUCAGAGUCACAGUGGGAUUUAUUCAAACCCACAUCUCAGGAUACAUGUUGCCAAAGCAAAUAUCCAUGGGUCUUUUCUUUUCAGACAGUUUUUCAAAAGAACAUGCUGCUCUUCUUUGUUCAUGGCCUGUCAGGUGAGAUGAGUUCAACAUCUGACUUUAAUGUUAAGAGGCUAAAAUUCCCAUAACACAAUAAACUAAGGGAAUUCAAUCUUCAGUAACCUUGGUGUUUGAUGUACAAUGGAAGAAAAAAAACCCCCCACAAUAUGGUGAAAGUCCUCUAUCAAGGUCACAAUGUGUUAAAGGAAAAAAGAAGGAAAAAUGUGCACAGUUAAAGCUGACAGGCAAAUCCCAUUAAGUCUGAGUACAACAGUGCUGAUAUUGGAAAUAAGGAGGAUGAAAAGGCAGAUCUAUUAUCCUAAGCUCUCUCUGAAAUCUGUUUCUCGAUCGAUGGAUCAGCCUCCCUGUAGAUGUGCAGGAGCCUGUAUUCUUCCUCAGGGAUUUGUCCAACCAGAAAAACACCUCAAGCUUCUCCCAAGCUGUGUGUUAUUCUGAAUCUAUUGAAGGCAUUGCAGCACUAAGGUCUGCUCCUCUUUCUCUGUUCUCACUUACACACACACACACACACACACACACACACAUUUCGCCACUUGUUUAGCAUCUGGAGGCAAGAUAUAUAGAUUGCUCUGCCUAUGCUGAUUUCAGUGUUCAUACAAGCUAAAAUCCUGCUAGAGUUUAUGAGAUACGAGAUGAAUUGUCUCAAAUAGCAGCAACUGACAGGUUACUCUGACAACCCUUACAGAAAAGUCACAUGAACUUUACAUAAUAAUCCCAUUUAAAAUUUACACAUGGUUUUUAGACACUUCACACAUUUUAUGAUCAUGUCAUUAAUUUUACACAGUUCACAAACCUACUAAUAAUCACCACUCCAUUUUCAACUGGAAAUUCAACAUGGUAAUCUUAUUUUCCUAUUUUGUUCAAUUAUUCAUUAUUUUCAAAUUUAAUGUAUUUAUACUUUUUUUCAAAUGUGAUUUUUUUUCCACAAUUCAUUCAGUUUCACAAGUGAAGUCAGUUAACAUGAUACAUUUUUCC
ensembl:lncRNA